CGCGGGCCCCACGGCGGCAGCGGCGAGCGGGGCUGGACCCGGGACCCCGGCCCAGGGCCCCCGCCCCUCCAGCCCCGCGAGCACCCCGCACGGCUGGACCCGGCGGCCGCUCCCUGAGACCUGGGCCUGUCGUCCUGUGACGCGCCUCCUAGACGAGGGCCUUUGGUGGGGCCGAGGUCGCCCACUAGGGGGACUGGAUCUGCCUGCGCGAUGUCUCGCCCCAGCGCGCGCCUCUGGAGCCGGGACCGUGGCCUCUUGCUGGCACGUAGUGGGGCCUCGCUAGGGGCGGUGGUGACAGGAAGCAGGGUGGCGUGCGCCUGGCGCUUAGUAGGGGCGCUUCGAGUGUUUGGUCAGUGCCAGACGGACACAGGGCUUGCACGCAGGCUCGGAGGUGAGGGGCGCUCGGACGCGCUGCCUCAGGGGUAACCGUGGGACGAGCCGCGAACCGAGUUGCAGGGCUGGCGACGGGUGCCUCUCAGAGGUGGACCGGGACAUCUCUGAGUUCCUGGGGAAGCUAUGACCGUGCAAGUAUGUUAAUGUUUCUCUUAAAGUCAAGAAAAAUGGCAAGCAGAGAUGGGCUAGUUGAGGAAGCUGACCUAGGCAGAAGGAGCAAUGCAAUCAAGGCUGCAGAAUGAGAAAUGCGUGGAGUGUUUUGGGAACACCCAGAGGUCAGUUUGGUUAGAGCACAAGAUUCCUGGGGAAGAAGAGUGAGCAGCUUGAGAUACAGAUUGGACUUGAUACAAGGCUAGACUACCACCUGCAAACCAGAGACAACUUUUCGUUUGAAUGAACAGAAUCACAGACUGAAAUAAAGGGGAAAAUAAUGUGUCUUCACUAUGACAGUACAUAGAGGCCCUCUUAUCCACAACUGUUGGAGAAUUACAGGGACAAUCUCAUACCUCCCACUGACUGAACCCAAGAGGAAGACCAAGGGCAAAUGAGCACAGAUGUCCUUCAAGGUCAGCCCUCAAGAACAGUGGAGAAACAAAGACAGAAUUAUCUAGCAGGAUUUCUUUAUUUGUUCUUUGAAUAAUCUUUUGCAGUUUUUUCCUUGGAAUUCAAAUAUUCAGAAAAAGGUGGGUUUUUUUAAAUUUUCAAAAAUUUAUGUAUAUGUAUACACACAUACAAAAUAUAUGUGUGUGUGUAUAGACGUGUAUACACAUUUCCAACACAUUGUUAAUUUUAGUUGUUGUUUUUAUUCAAAGAGUAUCAUUCCCCACAUACUAUCCUAGUACUUCUUUUUCACUUUGCAUGUUGUAUUGCUAAGAUUUAUCUCAGGUUUGUUGCAUGUACGUAGAUGAGUAUAUUUAUUGUGGCUGCCGUAGACUUUUCCAAUGUGUGAAUAUGCUAAUAUUACUUUAUUCCUUGUAGCAAACGCUCUUGGUACACUGUGUUCUUCCCUUUGGCCCACCUCUGAUUUUAGCCAAAUAUUUCGUGUCCAGUUUCCUGGGAGCAGUCAGUUACUGACAAUUCCACUACAAAUAGUAGGCCUUGGGCCUCUCCAAAUUUCUGCUUCCGGGCCUUCUCAAAAGCCAUAAGUGCCUUCUCAGCCCCCUCCCAGGCACAGCCUGACUGACAGUAAGGAGAGUUAACCUUGGGGAAUACGAGCCCAGGAGUAAAUGCCCCAGGCUCCCAUCCUUCAGAUGGGCAAUUCUGGGAGAGGCAUUUUGUACCCUUCUCACAGGUCCCCAUGGACUCACACCCCUACCUAGACUUGUCCUCCUCCCCUGCCUCACUGCUGUCUGAGAUCACUUCCCAAAUAAAUAACCAGCACCCAAGUGUUUGUCCCAAUCUCUGCUUUAGGGGAACCCCAUGCAAUACCACCAAUUUCUGAGGAAUGAACAUUUGGGUUGUUGCAGGUUUUUGCCGUUGCAAAACUGCUUCUAAAAAUGUGCAUGUAAAACCCAUGGGUGCACAAGUGCAAGAAUUUCUCUUGCGUGUUUACAUAGGAGUAGAAUUGCUGGGUCAGAGGCUAAGGCUAAAGUUUAUCUUGUGAACUUUGAACUUUACAAGAUAAUUCCAAAGUGUUUACCGAAGUGGUUUUCACCAAUUUACAGUUCUGACAACAUUGUAUAUGAGAUAUCAUUGAUCCACAUCCUCGCCAACAGUUGGUAUGGUCAGAUUUCUUGAUUGUAACAACUCAAAUAGAUAUCAAGUGGAAUCUCACUGCGGUCUCAGUUUGUACUUCUUGAUGAUUAAUGAGAUUGAAUGUGUCUUUCUAUAUUUAUUGGCCAUAAAUGUCAUAAAUGUUAUAUCUUCUGGGAAAUACAUAUUCAGAGCUUU